rnacentral:rRNA from 1 species
UUCCGGUUGAUCCCGCCGGACCCCACUGCUAUCGGGAUAGGACUAAGACAUGCUAGUUAAGCGCUCUUCAGCUAAAGGAGAGUGCGGCGUACAGCUCAGUAACACGUGGCUAACCUGCCCUUGGGACAGAGACAACCCCGGGAAACUGGGGCUAAUCCUUGAUAGGUGAAGAACUCUGGAAUGAGUCUCCGCCUAAAAGGCGCUUGCGCUAUGCUCGUAGGCGUCGCCCAAGGAUGGGGCCGCGACCGAUCAGGUUGUUGGUGAGGUAAUGGCUCACCAAGCCAUUUACCGGUACGGGCCGUGAGAGCGGUAGCCCGGAGAUGGGCACUGAGACAAGGGCCCAGGCCCUACGGGGCGCAGCAGUCGCGCAAACUUUGCAAUACACGAAAGUGUGACAGGGCUAUCCCGAGUGCCGCCCGCUGAGGGUGGCUUUUACUCAGUCUAGCAAGCUGGGAGAAUAAGGAGAGGGCAAGUCUGGUGUCAGCCGCCGCGGUAAUACCAGCUCUCCGAGUGGUGUGGACGUUUAUUGGGCCUAAAGCAUCCGUAGCUGGCUGAUCAAGUCCCUCGUUAAACCCACCGAUUUAAUCGUUGGCUUGCGGGGGAUACUGUUCGGCUAGGGGACGAGAGA